ACAUAGCCUGACAGAGGUUAGG
rnacentral:miRNA from 1 species